UUCCGGUUGAUCCUGCCGGACCUGACUGCUAUCGGAUUGAUACUAAGCCAUGCGAGUCUUUGCAGUAAUGCAAGGCGGACUGCUCAGUAACACGUAGUCAACCUACCCUAUGGACGAGGAUAAUCUCGGGAAACUGAGCAUAAUACUCGAUAGACCAUAAUGCCUGGAAUGGUUUAUGGUUGAAAUGAUUCGUUCGCCAUAGGAUGGGACUGCGGCCUAUCAGCUUGUUGGUGAGGUAAUGGCCCACCAAGGCGAUUACAGGUACGGGCUCUGAGAGGAGAAGCCCGGAGAUGGGUACUGAGACACGGACCCAGGCCCUAUGGGGCGCAGCAGGCGAGAAAACUUUGCAAUGUGCGAAAGCACGACAAGGUUAGUCCGAGUGAUUUCUGCUAAAGAAAUCUUUUGCAAGUUCUAAAACCACUAGUGAAUAAGGGGUGGGCAAGUUCUGGUGUCAGCCGCCGCGGUAAAACCAGCACCUCGAGUGGUCAGGAGGAUUAUUGGGCCUAAAGCAUCCGUAGCCGGCUCUGUAAGUUUUCGGUUAAAUCCAUGCGCUCAACGCAUGGGCUGUCGGAAAUACUGCAUAGCUAGGGAGUGGGAGAGGUAGACGGUACUCGGUAGGAAGGGGUAAAAUCCUUUGAUCUAUCGAUGACCACCUGUGGCGAAGGCGGUCUACCAGAACACGUUCGACGGUGAGGGAUGAAAGCUGGGGGAGCAAACCGGAUUAGAUACCCGGGUAGUCCCAGCUGUAAACGAUGCAGACUCGAUGAUGCAUUGGUAUAUAGCCAGUGCAGUGUCGCAGGAAGCCGUUAAGUCUGCCGCCUGGGAAGUACGUACGCAAGUAUGAAACUUAAAGGAAUUGGCGGGGGAGCACCACAAGGGGUGAAGCCUGCGUUCAAUUGGAGUCAACGCCGGGA
rnacentral:rRNA from 1 species